rnacentral:lncRNA from 1 species
CUCUGUACAAGCCCGUUUGGCCCUUAGCCUAAAACCCACUGAACCCACUAAGCCUAAAAUCAAAAUAACCUACCCAAAACCCAAUUUCAAAGGAAACCCUAGCCCAAUACAUUAAAGAAAAAUAAAGAAAAACCUAAAACCCUAGCCGUUCAGCCACUUGCCCCUGUCCCAUCCACCACCGCCUCUGCUCCUACCGACAGAUCGAAUCCACGCCACAAACACCUGCAAAAAUUAAUAAAGAAAAGACAGAUAUUAAAAAAAAGGGAAAUGUAAUGGCUAUUUAAAAGUCAAAUCCAAAAACCAUUGUAACAUUCGGCCUUUGGUGUAAUGAAAAAAUAAUCUUAGGUUUUUAAACACAAGCAAAGAAGCUAAAAACUCUAGCAAUAUCAAAAAGCAAAGAAAAACAGUUCAAACACAGGAGCAAAGUUUGAAAUCUAAGGUGAUAGUUUUAUUAUUUUCAUGUUCUUGUUUCAUUUUUUUUCGAAUCUGACAGGUAUUAACAUAUAUAUAUAUACAUACUAUAGAUACAUAUAAAAUAUAAAAAAAAAGUCACGGCGGACGGCACAGUGGCGGUUGAGGCCCUGAUUCCCCUCUAACCGGAGAGCAGAGAGGAGCUCUCAGUUUUUU